CUAGUUUCAAUGGCAAAACAAAGUAUGAUCUGCCUCGUUAAAAAACCUUCCUAGUAAAACCCAGUGGGAUAAACCCUAUAGAAGGGAAAAAGAGUACAGAUCAAUAAACAAAAACCUGUUCCACCAUUCUAGAAUGAUCGAGAACUCAUGAUGUUGUUGUAAAUUGCACUGACAUGGUUGAGGAAUUUUAUCGAACAGUAUAUGUGCAAUAUACUUUACACCUUUUGCAAACUUUGGUUACACGAUCGUUCCCGAGCCUUGUUGAAACAGGAAAGGAGUAGAGAAAAGGGAAUGAAUUGAAGAUACGGUGGAUUGGAUUAGACAAAUUUUGAGAAUUUGGAGGUCCUGGAUUGUGAAAAUUAGUUUUAGGUGACUUUCCCGUUCACAUGAUUUUUUGACGGGGAUGAUGUGUUGAAGAAAUUGAAUCAUGUAUAUGAUGGUGGCAUAGAUGAAGAAAUCAAUAAGUAUGAUCAACUAUCAAACCUUCAAGCAAUUCUCCUUCUCGUUGUGAUUGAUUUUGAAGAAGGUGAAUUUCCAGUUCUCUGUAUUUUUGUUCUAAAUAACAUUAUGAAUAUAUAUCUCUGAUGGAUUCUAUUUGGUGAUGUUUAAUAUAUAUCUUAACUGAUUGCAUGUUUAUAUAUUUAAGUUAAUAAAUGUGUGUGAGAGCUUUAGGGUGUUACACUUUGCAUACAACCAAAAUUAUUAAAGAGAACUAGGUACUAUAACUAUGACAAAUUCUAAUUAAUAUCACUUCUUCAAGUGGUUUAUGAUGGAUCAAUCAUCUGCAUGAAUAACGUUAUUUAUAGAUCAUUUGAAGAAGUGGUCCAUAAGAGUUAAACACCGUUAAUCUUAAUAAGUCUCAAUAACAUAUCAAAUGAUUUUCAAUUUUUCUAAAUUUUUUUAUAGAUAAUUUAUAUGAUAUAAAAUUUCAAUGCAACAAUGGAUUUUGUGAAAUGCAUAUUCCUUACACUUCAAUUGAUCUUCAAGUGGUACACUUUUUCACUUGGUGGUCUAUAGUAUUGAUCACUUGUUUUUCAAUCCCAUAUAUCUGUAUACACAAUAACCAUUCAAGCAGUAGCGUCUUGCACCAUAUUGUUUCUGAAGUCUCUUACAACAAUCCUUGUCAGUAACACAUUCUUUUCCUGGAAUGUAAAGAAAGAAUACAAAAACAUUACUAAAAAGAGGUGAAAAGUUGUAUAUAAGAUAAAAAAAAAGAAAGAGGCUGAUUUACCUAGGCCACUUAUAGGUAAAAUUUUUGUAGUGUCUAUACCUUUGACUACAACAAGAAAGCUGGAAACAAAAAUGAUCACCAGAAAAACAAAUUUGAGAUUUUCAGCCAUUUUUUUUCUUGUAACAAAUAUAAAGUUAUUUGAUUUUGGAUUACUUCAUGGAUAUUUUUUUGUUUAUUUGAUCACUUAAUGUAAU
rnacentral:lncRNA from 1 species